UAGGGAAUCUUCCACAAUGGGCGCAAGCCUGAUGGAGCAACACCGCGUGAGUGAAGAAGGUCUUCGGAUCGUAAAACUCUGUUGUUAGAGAAGAACACGAGUGAGAGUAACUGUUCAUUCGAUGACGGUAUCUAACCAGCAAGUCACGGCUAACUACGUGCCGG
rnacentral:rRNA from 1 species